AUCAUUUCUUCUCUCUCUCUCUCUCUCUCUCUAAAUCACCUCUCUCUCUCUCUAAAUUACCUUGGUCUUGUUGUCUUUGCUCGGUGAAACUGGGGUUUGUUACAAGUUACACUCCCUCAUCUUUCAAUUUUCUCUCUCUACGUGGAGAAUGCCCACAAACCCAAGGAGAAAAUCAGAAAAACAAUCAAAGGCCGUGGCACAAAACUGAAAGAAACCUUAAAGUAACGUUACAUUCCGAGUGGGACAUAGAGAGAGAAAUUAAGAGAAAAAGAGAGAGAGUAUCAAGGGACAUAAUCGACUGCGACAGAGAUAGAGAGAGGAUGAAGUAGAACUACAAAGGAGGUGUAGAAGUGAGAGAAAGUUAUGAAGUAACGUUACAUGAUAGAGAGAGAUGGAGCGAAUGUUAGUGAAUGUCGAUACAUGAUAGAGAUAUGGAGCGAAACAUCUUGUAGAGAGAGAAGAUAUAGAGAGGGAAGUGGAGGGAACGAUAGAGAGAAAAAGAGCAUGGAGGAGGAGGAGGGGGCAAGAUGUAACAAGGCGGAGGUGGGAUUUAUACGGGCUAAAAUGAUGCUUUGGUUUUGGUUUUAGAGAGAGAAAGUGAGUUUUAGAGAGAGAAAAGG
rnacentral:lncRNA from 1 species